AAAACCUUUGAUUGUAAAAUGAUAAUAUAUAGAUUCCAUUUGGCUUUCAUAAUAAAUAAAUAUGAUAAAGUAUUGUCUUAUUGAAAAAUGACGAUAGGGUAGAGACAGUCAACUUGUGAUAAGAGAUCACUUCCAUAAGUUGGGAGAGCAUAUCACCCCACAAAAAGAUUAAUUAUUGAAGAGAGAGAGAGAGAGAGUCAUCAUUGAAGAAUCUUGAGGCCUUCAAUGAAAAAAGAGGUAAAAGCUUCCAUUUGACUCUUAGGUAGAGCUAAUCCAACCUCAAUUCCACCUUCUACAUCUCUACUUUCAGCUAGUGAAAUGGCUCUGCUCCUAUCAAUUGAAAUAUCCUCUAUCUUCUUAGGCCUCCCCCAUCCAAAAUCUGUCUCAUAAAGAUUCAAUUUAGGUGAUCCAGAAACCAUAAUAUGGACCUCUGAUCCAAAUAACACUUCCCAAUCCAAGAUCCACCUUUCCGCCCCACAAAGAAUUUCUUUAUCCAACUUCUUGAUCUUGUUUCCAAUCACAUUUGCAGCAACAAUAAUUCCAUCUUCUCCCUUUAAUUCCCCCCCUAAUUGCUGUUGAUCUUCCAAAUCCUACACAAUUACCAAAAUAUGUGGCAGACACCGGAUAGUCCAACCGGGUUAGACCGCCCGCAAUAAACCCGAAAUAAUUUGGAUCUUCUUCUGAAUAAUAAUUUUCAAGUUGAUCAAUUUGAUUUUGGACUUUUACUAAACAAACCCAAAUAAAAGAACAGGCUAAUACAUAUGGAGAUAAAUGUAUAGGCAGUGGCUGACCCUUUUCCUUGCAUUUACUAAUGAUCCGUUUCUUGAUCCUCUCCAUAUCUAAUGAACUCACCACAAAUGUGGCUCUAACCAUAUUUGACAAAUCCACAUGGGUUUCAGUACCUAUAACCAUUCCUUGUGAAGAUUUUCU
rnacentral:misc_RNA from 1 species